rnacentral:rRNA from 1 species
UACGUAGGGUGCAGGCGUUAAUCGGAAUUACUGGGCGUAAAGCGUGCGCAGGCGGUUUGCUAAGACAGGUGUGAAAUCCCCGGGCUUAACCUGGGAACUGCGCUUGUUACUGGCAAGCUGGAGUGUGGCAGAGGGGGGUGGAAUUCCACGUGUAGCAGUGAAAUGCGCAGAUAUCAGGAGGAACACCAAUGGCGAAGGCAGCUCGCUGGAACGGUACUGACGCUGAGGCGCGAAAGCCAGGGGAGCAAACGGG